AGCGCGUUUCAGUUCCCGCCAACAUCCAGAGGCUUUUUUUCACGCCCCCAAUAGAAAACGUCCUCCCACGCCAAGGGGUGUAUGACGAUAUCCGGUUGUCGUCUGUAGUCUCGAAAUUCGAACAUCGAGUUUACCCAGUCACUGCUCAAUUUGCCAUGAGUGAUGUGGCUAAUAUCGUUUACGAACAUUCCCAGAUGAAGAGAUCUAAACUUGAUAAGGAUACAAGUUCUUCCACAAACAAUAUAUAUUCAACUAUCAAUGUAAGUUAGUACUUGAAGCGACCAGUUGAGCUAACUAGCCAACUUAGCUAGCAAGCUAACAGUAGCUAAGACAUUACCAAAUUGGUUAGAGCUAACGUUACUUAUUAGAGGGCUUGCUUUUGCAUCACAAAUCACCUAGCAACUGCAUCAGACGCCAUGUUGGAAGACCAAAGUCAGUCUGUUGGAAGCCCUUCAACUGUUCACAUGGCUGGCAGGGUUUUGCUAACACUGGAAAAUGUGGAAACAUUUACCAUUAUAGUAAUUCAUUUUUCUAAGGACCCAGAAAACGGAGGCAGUGGGAGAACCUAUUCUAAUACAGAGAGAUGUAAAACCCUGUCUGCAGAUGAAGAGGUCCCAAUGACUGUCCCGAGAGAAUAAGGGUACAUCCUUGUAUACCAUGGAUUAUAAGUGUACCUGUAGCCCACUGAUGAAAUGCUUGUGAGGAAGCCAAGGACAUCAGGCAGGAGUGGCAUAAAAUCCACUCUUUACCAAGCAAUCCCUGGGACCCUUCCUGACAUGACAGUGCUGUCUGCUGGACCAAGUUUGAGGAGCAUGAGACCACAGCCUGCCAUUGCCAAGGUGUUGCAUGGAUUGGAAGAAAUGACUCUGGUUGACUCUCUAAAUUUGGUCCAGUGCUGUCAUGUCAGUGUCCCCUUACUGUCACCAGAGAUUCUAAAGCAUUCAAUUGCUCCUGCUUUCCCCCAACUCCCAGUAAAAGAAACGGUAAUUUAAACUUUGUCCCUACUUGCACUCAGUUUUACCACAUGGAGAGCUUAAAGGUGUCACCAUCAUUGUCAUCUGCUAUUGAGAAUGGCACAGUCGAGCAGUGUGCCCGUCCACUAUGGAAGAAAUUAUGAAACCACGUGUGACUGCUACCCGGUUUAGUGAGGCAUGCCACGUGCGUGGGCUGUCAUCUCGCCAUGGCCUAGCCAUGAGAAUGCUUAAAGGUGAGCGGCAAAACGAAACUAUGAGAAAGGGGCUUGAGCCAGAGGUUCUAUAGAACUACUCUGAAUUGUUUAAUGUCUCGGUCAAACCUCGUGGUUUCGUUGUGAACCCAGAUGCACCCCAUCUUGGGGCAUGCCCUGAUGGGAAAGUUUAUGACCCUUCUGCAGCACCACCCUUCGGGCUUGCCGAGAUCAAGUGCCCUGAUGUUGAGUGUAACUGAUGCGAAGCACAUUAACUUUGUCAAUGGCCCGGCCAAGCUCAAUCACAGCCACAAAUAUCACUGGCAAGUCCAGGGCCAACUGGCUGUAACCAGUUUAGAUUGAUGCGACUUUGUUACAAGCACUAGAAGUGAUAUUACAGUAGAGAGAGUUGAGAGAUGAUGCUUUGAUAGCAGAGAUGAGAGAAACUUUACUACUUCUACACCUACAUGGAUGUGUACUUUAAGAUGUAGUGUAGCAGGUGAGCCAAUCCCACUUGGCAGGCCACUGUAACAUUGUUGCCCAAGGCAAUGUACAUGUAAUGUAUUUAACUAAUCAAAAUUGUAUGUAGAGUAAAUUGUUUUAAU